rnacentral:rRNA from 1 species
UACGAAGGGGGCUAGCGUUGCUCGGAAUCACUGGGCGUAAAGCGCACGUAGGCGGAUUGUUAAGUCAGGGGUGAAAUCCUGGAGCUCAACUCCAGAACUGCCUUUGAUACUGGCGAUCUCGAGUCCGGGAGAGGUGAGUGGAACUCCGGAGUGUAGAGGUGAAAUUCGUAGAGUAUUCGGAAGAACACCGGUGGCGAAGGCGGGUCU